AUUGAACGCUGGCGGAAUGCUUUACACAUGCAAGUCGAACGGCAGCACGGGGGCAACCCUGGUGGCGAGUGGCGAACGGGUGAGUAAUACAUCGGAACGUGCCCGGUCGUGGGGGAUAACGUAGCGAAAGUUACGCUAAUACCGCAUACGAUCUGAGGAUGAAAGCGGGGGACCUUCGGGCCUCGCGCGAUCGGAGCGGCCGAUGUCAGAUUAGGUAGUUGGUUGGGUAAAGGCCUACCAAGCCGACGAUCCGUAGCCGGGCUGAGAGGACGACCAGCCACACUGGGAAUGAGACACGGCCCAGACUCCUACGGGAGGCAGCAGUGGGGAAUUUUGGACAAUGGGCGCAAGCCUGAUCCAGCCAUUCCGCGUGCAGGACGAAGGCCUUCGGGUUGUAAACUGCUUUUGUAUGGAACGAAAAGGCUCUGGCUAAUACCUGGGGCUCAUGACGGUACCGUAAGAAUAAGCACCGGCUAACUACGUG
rnacentral:rRNA from 1 species